rnacentral:lncRNA from 1 species
GGCUGAAAACAGUGGGGUGACCGGACCCUGUUGUUGCCGGUAGAAUGUGGGCCUCCGUCCUCCCGGAAGCCGCAGACUCGGGCUGUGCCUCCGUGGACCCUUCCUGGCCACUUUCUCCUGACCCGUGUCCGCCAGGCUGCCGGACCCCGCCCCUCCCCGGGACGUCACGGGAUCUCUGUAAACGCAUUGUUGACUUAGAAAAGGUUUGUCACUCCCUUGUUCUGCCUAGUAAAGCCUGACAACAGGUGACCUUUACUUCAAGGUACAAUGCAGUGAAGCUGUGAUGCUUUACCAAUGGAACAGGACCUCAUACAGCAACGUGCCUCCCAUAGGCAAAGGACGAUACAUAGCAACCAGUCUGGCCAAUGAGACAGGUGAGCUCAGAGUAGCCAGCUGUGGCUGUUGCCUCCAUGUUCGACGACCAUUUCAUCAAACAGUUAAUGGAUAAGUUUUUACUGAGAGACUUCCAUUGGGAUCUUAUAGCAAGCUCUCAUGUGCUGGAUCCUUUAUAUGAUGCAGUUGGAACGAAAUGUGAUUUCUCUGGAAUGCUCCAUGCAUCUCAUGAGUCCCCCCAUUUGAAUAGUACUUUAGAGCACAUUGGAUGACCUUAGAUUGCUUUCCUCAAUCCAUAGGCUGGCUUGGAGAUUUGACCUCUUGGGUAGCCUGGCUCGGUGGAAUGUUAUACCUCAUAACGCUCACAACAUGCUAGGAGCCAAAGUGACAUGCUGCUUUAAGUACUAGUACUUUUGUUGUUAUAUGAUAAAGUCUGAAAAGUGCAACUGCUGGGUUAAAGGAUCUGUGUGAUUUAAUAUAUUGCCAUACUGCUUUCCAAAAAGGUGGUAGCAACAAUGAGAGAAAGCCUUUCUGAUUCCCCCAAAUCAGUUCAUUUCCCCCGUUAUAGGUCAUCCUCUUUUCCUGUACCUCAUAUUUUUAGUAUUUAUCACAAUUGUAAUAAUUGAAGUUUUUUGUUAAAGAUUGGCACCUGAGCUAACAACUGCUGCCAAUCUUUUUGGUUUCUGCUUUUUCUCCCCAUAUCCCCCCAGUACAUAGUUGUAUAUUUUUUUUAGUUGUGGGUCCUUCUAGUUGUGGCAUGUGGGACGCCACCUCAACGUGGCCUGACAAGCGGUGCCAUGUCUGCCCCCAGGAUCCGAACCAGCGAAAACCCUGGGCCGCCUAAGCAAAGCAUACGAACUUAACCACUCGGCCACAGGGCCAGCCCCUUCUGUUUCUAUAGUAUACCAAAAUCAUGGACUACCCCAAAAGCAAACUUGCUAUUGGUAUACUUAUUUACAGUUUUACCUUUGACUAAUUCAUAGGCUCCAGGGCAAAUGAUUCUGCAGGUUGGGCUGAAUUAAAUUGGAGAAGAACUCCUUUUUCUAAUAAUUCAUGGUGGGUAGUAACAACAUAUCGAGCCUGAUAUUUUCCUGCAGAAUUGUUGGCAUAAGAGCUAUCAACACAGAGUAUUAAUUCCGGAUUGGCCAAUAAGGUUUCCUGUAAAUCUAAUUUGGAUUCAAAUUUUGAGAAACCAGUUCAACACAGUUAUGAGUCUUUCCUUUGUUGGGUAAAGAUGGGAAGGUAGCAGAGUUUAAAGAGUCACAGGCAAAGAAUGUACAGGUUUGAAGGAGACAGAAGCAGGAUCUCACAAGAUGUUAGUCUACUGACUGAGAAACGCCGUGAACACUCAGUAUUAAGUGAACUUUCUACAUCAUGAGGAACCUGCAGGUAUAAAUCAUUUCCCUGAAAGGGUUCUGAGGAGGAUUCUACAAUUUUAGUGACUGAGCUACUGCUUUUAAACAAUUUGGAUAUGCCCUGGCUACUGGGUCCAGCUGCAGGCUGUAAUAGGCUAUAGAUCUAUUUUUUCCCUCUGUGGGUUUUUUUUUUUUUUUGAGGAAGAUUAGCCCUGAGCUAACUACUGCCAAUCCUCCUCUUUUUGCUGAGGAAGACUGGCCCUGAGCUAACGUCCAUGCCCAUCUUCCUCUACUUUAUAUGUGGGACGCCUACCACAGCAUGGCUUUUUGCCAAGUGGUACCAUCUCCGCACCAGGGAUCCAAACCUACAAACCCCAGACCGCAGAAGCGGGACAUGUGAACUUAACCACUGCGCCACCAGGCCGGCCCCUCCCUCUGUGUUUUUGAGGACUCCUUAAGCCCAAUUGUUCUGUUCAUGGAUGAACAACGUGAGAAGUUUAGUGUAGUUAAGGAGCUCUAAUGAAGAGGAUUUCGUAAAGCCCAUUUGAGUUCAGUAAAGGUUUCCUUGUGUUUUAUUUCCCAAGGAAGAGGCUCCUGAGAACUAUUUUUAGUUGGCUCAUAGAGUAGGGGAGCCAGUGAAGGAAAACAUGAGACCAAGACCGACAAUAUCCUGCAGGUCCGGGGAAUCCUCACAGAAGACAGAAAGAUUCCUUUUGCAGAUAAGUCAUGACCUAGAUAAUGAACCAUCUCUCGUUAGAACUGAUGCUUAUCUUGAGAGGCCUCAUGGCCUUUAUAAGCCAGUUGUUGUAAAAGAUAUGUUGAAUGGAUUCCUGAGUUCUCUUUAGAGCAGGAACAAAGAAGCAAAUCAUCUACAUAUCGAAUCAAGGUAGAAUUUCUGAGGAAUUGCAGCAGAGUGUUUAAAUCCUGAUGUCCAGCUUGUGAAAAGUACAAGGGACCCUCAGGAAAAUCCCUGAUGCAUUACAGUCCAAUUAUACUGUUGAUUUUUCCAAGUAAAAGCAAAUAAAUAUUGACUGACUUUGUCUGCUGGGAUGCUAAAGAAUGCAGAGCAUAAGCCCACAACCGUAAAUCAUUUGGUUCCUGCUGGUAUAUUUGCCAACAAAGUAUUUAGGUUUGGUACCGCUGGAAGCUUCACUAUCAGUCUUACUUAUGGCUCUAAGGUCUAGUACAACUCUCCGUCCCCGUCUAUGGGGCUUCUUUAUAGGCAAGAUCAGAGUAUUGCAAAAACUGGUACAGGGAAUAAUAAGCCUCUGACUUAUUAAAUCUUCUGUGGCAGAGGUGAGCCCUGGUAUGGCUUCAGGUUUUAAGGGGUACCGAGGCAACUUGGAAGUGGUUUAGAAGGAUCAAUCUGAAUUUUAAUGGGUUUGGCACUUUUAAUUUUUUCCACAUCUGUGGAAGAAGAGGCCCUUAGAGUAGCAGGAUUUCAGAGAGAUCUAUGGCAUCUAUACUUUCAUGGAAUUUAAUAGUCUCCUCAGGACAAUCAAUACAUAAUGCUUCAGUCUGGAAAUUCUAAGGCUAUUUCGCCUGAGGAAAAUUGUAUUUGGCCUCCUAAUCUAGAAAGCAGAUCUCUACCUAGGAAAAUUCACAGGCGAAGUAUCACAUAAGAGAAAGGUGUGACUUUCAGAGAAAGGGCCAAGGGUAAUAUUCAUGGGUUCCAAUAAAGGAACUCUUUGAACUCGACUGGAAACUCCCACUGCUAAGAUAGUUUUAUUAGUCCGCGGAAGUUCUUCAUGUAUCAUAGUGGGUUUAAAGUUAAUAGAGUUGCUCC